UCAAUAUUCACAACCGUCCGGUCUUUUAUUAGGUUCAAAAAAUCAGUCCAAAACUCAGUCUUGCCUACUCUAACAAUGUCAGACUUUCCAUUGGAUGUUGUUGCCGAAAUCCUCUGUCGAUUACCCGUUAAAUCUGUCUUACGUUGUAAGUGCGUAUCUAAAUCCUGGCUCACUCUUAUUGAUAGUCCUGAGUUUGCUAAUUUGCAUCUCAAUUAUUCACUCAAACUCAAAACAGCCAAUUCUAACCUUUUCUUGAUCUUGAGAAAGGUUGAUUAUUAUGGCUAUGGAAAGCGUUGCUUUUACUCUCUACACUUUGAUUCUCUCAACUCUAGAGUUGUUACUCCUAAAGAAUUGACCAACCCUUUGUUGUCUAGUGAAUAUAAUACAAAGGUUGUUGGUUCUUGUAAUGGGUUGUUGUUGAUAUCAAAUACUGUGCAUGACAUUGCUUUAUGGAACCCUUCUACUGGAAAGUACAAGAAGUUACCAGUUCUUGGUAUUGGUGAUAAUCCUGUCCAUGUUAGUUUUGGUUUUGGUUAUGAUGUUAUCAAUGAUGAUUAUAAGGUUGUCCGUAUUGUGCAGUUUUCUGGUUCUGAGAAAGGUUCUUUUCGCUCUGAUGUAAAGGUUUAUAGUUUGAAAUCAAGUUGUUGGAGAGGGGUUGAUGAACAACUUCCUUAUUUCCUUCGAUAUGUAGAUCAACCAGGUGUAUAUCUAAAUGGUUCAUUGCAUUGGGUUGCUAGUGCUAAGAUGGAGAUACCUGCCAAUAAAUUAGAACCACUGAUUGUUGCUUUUGAUCUUGGAACUGAAAAGUGGGGACUUGUACCUCGUCAUCGUUAUACUGAUACGGGUUUCAUUGUGAAUUUGGUCGUGUUGGGAGGCUCCCUUUGCGUAUAUAAAACGUAUUUUGUGGAUUCUUAUGAUUAUUCCUCAGGGAAUGUGGAUCUUGUUUUGGAUCAUGUGGACGUAUGGGAAAUGAAGGAAUAUGGAGUUAAGGACUCAUGGACUAGGGUUGCAUCACUUGAACAACCAGAUAAGCAACUUGGUCAUACUGUGGUCCCACUUGCAUAUUCGGAGAAUAGAGAGGAAAUUCUUGUGGAACAAGAUAAUAGGCGAUUCCUGUGGACUAGUAUUGUGGGGGACUCCAUAAAGAUUGUUGAUACUCAAAAUGGGACGUUACGUGGCUUUCUACAUUUCAAUAGUUAUGUUUAUUUAGGAAGCCUUGUUAAGUUCGGUUCCAAUGAUGACAAAAGUGAUCUGAAUAAACAGUAUAAUCAAGAUAAAGGAGGAAACAGGAAAGCCCGAAAGAAGAGGUCCGUCAUUCCGUUAAUUUGUAGCCUUCUUUCUUUUAGCAUUUAGCAUAGUUUUUACGUAUUUAUACUUCUUUUACAAGUAGAGCCUUUAGGAUCACUCGUUUCAAUAACAGGGCACCAUUGUUAACAUUUAGGUGAAGUAGCACUAUUGAGGGAGAUUGCUUAUACAACUUAUAACAUUAUUUGUAUUUGUUAACUUUCUUUGCGAAAUUUUCUAUUUUAUCCUUGAUUUGAUAGAGGAGAUGAUUUCCUUUCAAAGGGGUUCAAGUUGAAGCUUUGAGCAAUGAAUGAGGUGAAGAUUUGGAGGGUCAAGGAUGCCUUUUUGAUGGUGAAACAAUGAAGCUGGACAAUGAAGGAGGGCACAUUUCGUCUAUUUUGAUUUUAAACUCCAAUAUCCCUCCUACUCUCUUUUGAUGUAAAUAGUUGAUACUUAUGUUUUGAUAUCAGUUUUUAGUCGAUAAAGCUGAUGACCGACUUGUAUGGCAUUUACAGAUAUGCUUUUCCAUCUUGACGUGCUUAUAUGAAUCUGUUAGUUUUGUCAUGCUUUUGUAAUUGUAAGGCUGCAUGAUGGAUUUAGUGAAUGGUUCACUUAAGUUGUUGAUCUAAA